GAUGAACGCUGGCGGCGUGCUUAACACAUGCAAGUCGAACGAUGAUGCCCAGCUUGCUGGGUGGAUUAGUGGCGAACGGGUGAGUAACACGUGAGUAACCUGCCCUUGACUCUGGGAUAAGCCUGGGAAACUGGGUCUAAUACCGGAUAUGACUGCUCCGCGCAUGCGGUGGUGGUGGAAAGCUUUUGCGGUUUUGGAUGGACUCGCGGCCUAUCAGCUUGUUGGUGGGGUAAUGGCCUACCAAGGCGACGACGGGUAGCCGGCCUGAGAGGGUGACCGGCCACACUGGGACUGAGACACGGCCCAGACUCCUACGGGAGGCAGCAGUGGGGAAUAUUGCACAAUGGGCGCAAGCCUGAUGCAGCGACGCCGCGUGAGGGAUGACGGCCUUCGGGUUGUAAACCUCUUUCAGUAGGGAAGAAGCGAAAGUGACGGUACCUGCAGAAGAAGCGCCGGCUAACUACGUGCCAGCAGCCGCGGUAAUACGUAGGGCGCAAGCGUUAUCCGGAAUUAUUGGGCGUAAAGAGCUCGUAGGCGGUUUGUCGCGUCUGCUGUGAAAGACCGGGGCUCAACUCCGGUUCUGCAGUGGGUACGGGCAGACUAGAGUGAUGUAGGGGAGACUGGAAUUCCUGGUGUAGCGGUGAAAUGCGCAGAUAUCAGGAGGAACACCGAUGGCGAAGGCAGGUCUCUGGGCAUUAACUGACGCUGAGGAGCGAAAGCAUGGGGAGCGAACAGGAUUAGAUACCCUGGUAGUCCAUGCCGUAAACGUUGGGCACUAGGUGUGGGGGACAUUCCACGUUUUCCGCGCCGUAGCUAACGCAUUAAGUGCCCCGCCUGGGGAGUACGGCCGCAAGGCUAAAACUCAAAGGAAUUGACGGGGGCCCGCACAAGCGGCGGAGCAUGCGGAUUAAUUCGAUGCAACGCGAAGAACCUUACCAAGGCUUGACAUGGACUAGUAAGACGCAGAGAUGUGUUCCCCUCUUUGAGGCUGGUUUACAGGUGGUGCAUGGUUGUCGUCAGCUCGUGUCGUGAGAUGUUGGGUUAAGUCCCGCAACGAGCGCAACCCUCGUUCUAUGUUGCCAGCGGUUCGGCCGGGGACUCAUA
rnacentral:rRNA from 1 species